rnacentral:lncRNA from 1 species
CAAAAUGUGUCCUUCAGUUGUAAUAAACGGUGGGAGAGUGCAGGAGAGAAAAAGGUCCCAGCAAUUUCUGAUGCCGGAUGUGCACCUAAUUGCAAUAUUGACAAGAGAAAAGAUGGGCCAAUUUGAGUGUGCCAGUGUGAUCUUCCAGCUGGAUUAUGCCAUUAUAAACAAGACGGGCUUGCCUACGUUGGAAAUAAGGAUGUUCAGUUUGCAGUAAAUUCUGUUCAGAGCCCAAAGUUGAGCCCAGGGACCCCAGCAGCAUAAUCAAGGCCGUGAUUGAUGAGAUGUCAGCGACUGUUAGACAUAGUGUGUGACGCAUCCAGUCACGGGGGACCUGAGUGUUUGUCAUAAUGUCACAGCACCUGCUGCUGCUGCUACCUUGGGGUGUUGGGAAAAGGGAUGCGCCUGACGUGGCCGUCCCCUCCCCCAGCGCCCCGCAAGUGUUCGAGAGGAAGGCCGCGGGGGUAUCUGCCAUCAGGAAAGACAAAAUGGAGCCACGCAGGGGAAAGCAGCAUGGGGUGGGGGAAGGUGGCACGUUUCCGGCGCAGGGAGAGGAAGAACAGUCAGUUUGAGGAAGGAAAAAAAAAUAAGACAAUUUUCCAAAGCAAUCGUGUGGUCUUUAAAAUAUUGUUAUGUAAAUGAAUCUAAUGUGUCUCUAAAUUCAUUAAGUGGGUUGGAGGGUUACUAGCCCUGGAGGGCCCCAGCGAAAUUGGCAGAGACAUUUUCACUGUCUAGGUUGUGGUUGUUGACCUUUUCUUCUGUCUUGCUUACCCUUUCCUAGGGAGGAGGCAGGAACUCGAGGGGCUUAUCGGAGUGGCAGAAGGAAAGCCCCCACUGAAAAUGCCUGUUAUGCGCCUUCUGGGAACCGUCCUCCUCUUUCACUUCCUCCCAGCCCCAGCUGGAAUUCCCAAAUGUAGCCUAAACCAGUACCAUACCUGCUAGACAAAUUGUAUAAAUUAGACAUCCCUAAGAGGGAGGAGAAUUUUGGAUGGGGAGCAAAUAAAGGAAAAGGAAGCUGCCAAAACAGUGAGUCUUGGUCAGAAUUUCACAGUCAUUUCUCAGGUCUGGGUUGGAGGAUGUAAACACAGGGGAAGUCAAGACAGAUUGUUGCCAUCCUAGCUACUUUUUGUAAUUGGGAAGCAUGUAAAGAUUGACUCCUUUUUCUUGCGUCCUUCAAAGAGCACGAAAAGUGGGGCAGUAAGUAUUCAAAAGCAUCUGUUUCCUGCCUGAACCCCUCUGAGUACCAGAGGGGGCCAGCAGAAGAACCUGCCAUGGUCCGUAAACAUGCAGGGAAGGCUGUGACAUAGGAAGCCAGGCCCACAGCUGAGCCUCCCAAGGAUGAAGAUAGGCAUUCAUCGAAAAACUGUUUUUGUGUUUCUUCCAGUACUGCUACUUUUUAAGUAUAAUUUACAUACAAUAAAAUGCAGAUUUUUAAGUAUACUGAUCUAUGGAUUUUGACAAGUAUGUACACCCAUGGAACCCACCACCCAUCAAGAAACAGAACUUAGGCCGGGCAUGGUGGCUCACGCCUGUAAUCCCAGCACUUUGGGAGGACGAGGCAGGCGGAUCACCUGAGGUCAGGAGUUCAAGACCAGCCUGACCAAUAUAUAGUGAAACCCCAUCUCUACUAAAAAAAAAUACAAAAAUUAGCUCGGUAUGGUGGCACAUGCCUGUAAGUCCCAGCUACUUGGGAAGCUGAAGCAGGAGAAUCGGUUGAACAUGGGAGACGGAGGUUGCAGUGAGCCGUGAGCCGUGAUUGCACCACUGCACUCCAGCCUGGGUGACAGAAUAAGACUCUGUCUCUAAAAAAAAAAAAAAAAAGAACUUGUUCAUCACUGCAGCAGAUUCCCUCGUGCCCUUUGUUUCAAUCUUCCUCUCAUCAAAGGACACCUCUGAUGGAUCUGCCUUCUGUCAUUACAGAUUAGUUUGCAUUUUCUAAUGUCAUAUUAAUGAAACUACACAGUAUGUAGUCAUUUUCUGGCUUUGUUUGCUUAGAAUGAUGUUUUUGAAGAUCACCCAUGUAGGAACAUAUAUCGAGAGCAUCUAUAUGUAGUUUGUUUCAUUUUAUUGGUGAGUAACAUUCCAUGAUAUGGUUAUACCGCCAUUUGUUUAUGCAUUCAUCUGUUGAUAGACAUUUGGGCUGUAUAUUGGUUUGUGGCUCUUAUGAGUAAAGUUGCAAUGAAUAUUCUUUUAGAUUUAUCUGGAUGGAUGUAUCUUUUCAGUUCUCUUGGAUAAAUACCUGGGAGUGAAAUUGAUGGGUCAUAGGGUAGGUGAACGAAUUUAACAUUAUUGGGAACUGCCAAACAAUUUAGCAAAAGGUUUGCACCAUUUAUCAUUCCAUCACAGCAGUAUUUGAGAGUUCCAGCUGCUCCACAUCUCCUCCAAUUACAGUAUUGGUAUUGCUAGUCUUGUUUGCUUUAGCCAUUGUAGUAGGUGAGAAGUAGUAUCUGAUUUCAGCCAAACAUUUUCAAAGCAGUCAUUUUCCUGGGGACCUAUUGCUGAAUUCUAGCAGAUUUUUAGCUGGGCUAUGAAAGGUAGAAUUACAAUAGGAAAAAGGUUUAUAUUUAGAGUCAGUCUGCAUAUUCAUAUUUUUAAAAGAAAACCUCUAAGCAGCAAUUUGAGUUUAAUAUUUCUCCCCAGAAGUCUAGUUUCCUUAACAGCUGUUUAUAAAUAUUUACCUUCACAUUUUUAAUGACGACAAUGUAUAUAGCACAAAUACCAGGAGCUUUAAGGUAUAAAUAUUCAACACAGAGGUUUCCAGUUGUUUCUAUGUAGGACACAGAGACCUGUCUUCACAUACAGGUCUAUGGAAGGCUUGCUGGCAGUAAAGGUGGAUAAGAACUGAUGCCCUAGAGAAUAAACUUCCCUGGUUUGGGUCUUUUCUUUGCCAGGGGUGUGAUUUAAGGCAAGUUAUCUUGCCUCUGUAAUGUAUCAUAAUAUCUGAUAUGGUUUGACUGUGUCCCCACCCAAAUCUCAUCUUGAAUUGUAAUCCCCAUAAUCCCCAUGUGUCAUAGGAAGGACCCAGUGGGAAAUGAUUGGAUCAUGGGGACGGUUUCCCCCAUGCUGUUCUCGUGAUGGUGAGUGAGUUCUCAGGAGAUCUGAUGGUUUUAUAAGCAUCUGGCAUUUCCUCUGCUUGCACUCACUCUCUCUCCUUUCGCCUUGUGAGGAAGGUGCCUGCUUUCGCUUCAUCUUCCACCAUGAUUGUAAGUUUCCUGACGCCUCUCCAGCCAUGCAGAACUGUGAGUCAAUUUAACCUCUUUUCUUUAUAAAUUACCCAGUUUCGCCAGUCUCAGGCAUUUCUUUAUUGCAGCAUGAGAACAGACUAAAAAAAUACCCUCCUCCAUAAACUGGGAUAAUCAUAUAUCUACCUCCUGGGCAUGCAUCUAAAACUUGAAACCACUGCCUGGCACAUGGGAAAUGCACAAUAAAUGCAAAAACAUUCAAAAAAGCUAAUUUUUAAAAGUGAUUUGCCCUCUAUCAUUCUCCUUUUCUCCAUUGAACAUAACUGCAGGGCUGAUCUGGCAUCUCAAGGCCACCUGGAAUGAAGUGCUGAGUCUAAGGGUCCAUAGGCAGCUGGCAUGUGAUGUGAUUCCAAGCUUCUAAAGAAAUGCUCAGGAGAAAUAUAUCUCUGGAAAUGGGACCUGGAGGGAUUUGUGUAGCCUUUGAUAUUUCAUGCACACUUCAGUGAAGCUCCUGAAAUUGUGUACAAAACUCAUAGGAUUUUUUUUUUUUAACCUGUAGCUUGCAGCAGAUUCUCCAAGGAGACUGGGACCUCAGGGUCUUUUGGAUCCACUGCAAAAUAAGGUAGGACCAUUGAAGGGUAUGGAACAGAUUUUGGAAAAAGAGAGU